rnacentral:misc_RNA from 1 species
AGAAAGGUAUGAUAAAUGAUAAGGGACAAUGAGAUAAACACCGAGCCUAUCUCUCACACGGCACAUCCAUUAACAUGACCAGCUCUGGGGCCACCGUGAAACGUCGGGUGUCAUGGCGAGAACCCAACCGCCUGACAGACGUGUGGGUGACACCGGAGUCUGGGGAUAAGGGAUGUAGUGGUGGCCUGGGAGAGAAGCACGUGGGUUUUACCGUCAAACCUAACCCCCCUGCUGACGGAGUGGGGAGCGACCUGAAAGAGAUCGGCCUCAUCUAUGGUGGAUCCCUUAUAGCACAGACCCUAAUAGGUCCUGGUAUAUUCACCUCCCCCAAGGGUGUGGUGGCGGGGUCGGGGUCAAUCGCCAUGUCUCUGGUCAUCUGGGCGGCCUGUGGCGUCUUCAGCACGAUGGCUGCUCUGUGUUUCACGGAACUUCGCGAGUCUGUCCGGAAAGAGGGUGUGGAGUAUGCCUACAUCUCGGAAGCGUUUGGGCCAGUCACAGCCUUCGUCUACUGUUGGAUGCGUAUCGCAGCUGCAGAACCAGUCGGAACGGCUGUUUUCUGUGCCGCCUUCGCCGACUACACUGCUGACGCUAUAUACGACGGUUGUGGCCCUCCUGAGACAAUCCGAAAAUGUUUGGCAAUUCUUGCACUUGUUUCCCUGGCCCUGCUGAACGGGUUCAGCAACAAGCUGGCAUCUCAGGUACAGGUUCUGGCGACCGUUGGGAAAGUGACGGCGUUGUCUGUAGUCAUCAUCUACGGCAUCAUCAGACUCUUCCAAGGUCAUUACACGAUCCUGCAGGAGGGUUUUGAGGGCACCACGGACAACCCGACAUCAAUAACCUUCGCCAUAUUCAAUGGUCUCUGGGCCUACGGUGGCUGGUCCAACGUAAACCACGUGACUAGAGGUGUGAAGAAACCCCCAAGAAAUUUACCACGACUUGUGAAAUGCGUCAUACCACUGGUAAUGGUAAUCUACAUGCUCGUGGUGACGUCAUACUUCACGGUAAUGACGAAACGCGAGAUGCUCGCUUCCGAGGCCAUAGGCGUGACAUGGGGUGAGAGGAUGCUGGGCAAGGCUUCUGCAGUUAUACCCCUGGGGGUUGGUCUGACGGCGCUGGGCAGUGCUAACGGGACAUUCCUAACAGCUGGGAGACUGUCAGGAGUCGCUCUAAAGGACGGCAACAUGCCGGAGUUCUCAUCGUGGGUGCAUGUGCGCAGCAAGACCAACAUAAUCACUCUCAUCAGCAGGGCGUUGAUCGCCAUCGUGAUGCUGCUGUUUGGUAGCCUGGACGUCCUGGUCCGGUUCUUCGUCUUCACGGUCUGGUUGUUCCACGGUCUGGCAAUCCUGGCUCUCCUGGUCCUCAGGGUAAAGAACAAAGAGAAAGCAAGACCGUAUAAGGUAAACAUCGCCAUCCCCAUCGUCGUUGUCGCCAUCAUUGCCUGUUUCUCCAUCGCACCCUUCCUGGAGGCACCCAAGACAGAGUUCAUUUUGUCUCUGGCUCUCGUUGUCUUCUCGCUGCUUCUCUACAUACCCAAGAAGUUCCUCAAAAUUAACGGUCAAUUCUCAGACAAGUUCCAGAUAUACCUUCAACUAUUCUUACGGAUCGCUCCUCGGCGAGCCUUGAAACGAAUGUCGAUAGCGCGACGGAAGUCAAUAGUGAGAAGAGCGUCUCUAGCCCUGGCUAGACGUCACUCUAUGCUGAGGAUGGAAGAGGAUUCGAUGCUCCGGAGGAGGACUAGUCUGAGCGUCAGGCGUUCCUCUGCGCCUACCAUCACCAAACCAGCAGGGAUCAUCCGUCGGAGCCACACCUUCAGUGAAGCCCAGAGACCUCUCAGUAUGAUCACGGAAACAUCACCACGGGAGACCACGCCCCCAGACUCGGGUCUCAGCUCCGACCAGGAGACCGUGGAAGACAAGUUCAACUUCCAGGUAGAUGUAGAACCGCAGAACGACGUCACAGAAGGCUCCGUAGGCAGUGGCAGCAUCGCAUCAAGUGACGUGGAAUACGUUGAUCCUUUCGCAGAUCUGGACCCAGUUGUGCUCAACGAGCUGUUUUCUCUGCGAUCUCGCUCCAGCGCAAGCAGUGACAGCUCCUCUUCACUGGACAUGAACGAGACAGCGUCCAUGACAGACGACGACCUCGACGGCUCCGACUCCACCACCAGCACAGAUGACAACUUAGAUUCAGAACUGGACGCGGAGUUGUUUGCUGAGUUGGACUCUUAUCUUGUUUAUGAUGAUGCGUUAUCUGAUGAUGUUCCUUACAUGCAGGUUACCAAGUUGUGAUACCACGUCUAGUAUUGCGUGGAAAAUCAAAACGGUUUGAGUCAGUGGGGUAGUUCGGCUUUUGCAGGUCAGGUCAGAAGAUGGUCAAGGGGGUAUAAAAUCACAUCCAUAAGUACUGCAUUUCAAAUGUAAGAAGAAUUCUACCUGCCAGCGAAUGUAGUGAAAAGGGAUAAUUGAGAUCAAUUCAGUCCCAGAAACACUAAAUACCGAGUCAUUACAUUGGUACCACUCCAAUAAAUCCUCUCAACGUUAUGUUUCACUCUAAGUGAUUUCGUUUCAAGAAGUACAACCUGAUAUUACUUAUUCAUUCGGGCAAAAUGAAUUUGGACAAUAUCAAAAUCAUUGCUGAAUCUCAACGAAGUAGCAAGAAUACAAAAUUUGUAUUACAACUUCUCUAUAUUUCACAGACGAAGACAAAUUUGCCAAGAGGAAAAAUCAAAACGUUUUGUAGGUGAAAUUCAUAUUCAGCUUCUCGUCAUUUGGUCAGUCAUUGCAGCCAAUAGCAAUUUCCAUUGUUAAGAAACUUACAUACUGUUUCAUUCAACAUCAUAGGUUGUAGUUUAGUAGUAUAUGUUGCAUAUAGAUGUUUAAAGCUUGUUUCUUUGUAACCCGUAUCGUAUAGCUUGUGUUUUUUCUCCUUCUGAUGAACCUUAUAGGCUGAAAGGACAGCUAUAUAGUAACACAGCUAACAUUGACGUAACCAGCUGUACAUCGUCCAUGUAGCCUAGGUAACAUAUACAUUGUUGGUACCAGUCGUAUAUUGUCCAUAAACAUUGGUAACAUAGCUUCGUUGUUGUUACCUGUUGAAUAUUGUCCACAUAACCUUGGUAACAUAGCUUACGUUAUUGUUACCAGUUGUAAACUGUCCGCAUAGAAUAGGUAGCAUGGCUUACAUUCUGCAUGGGCGUGCGGCCAAUAUGUUGUAAAUUGCUCUAAUUAAGGAACACAGGUGGCAGCGUGCGGCCAAGUAAAUAAAUUAUGUACCCACAUCGCAUAAAUUACAACGAAAUCAUGUUUUUUUAAGUACGGCUUGCUAACCACAUUUAUUUACAUAGAUAGCACAAUUAAUAUCAAUGUCUUGUUUCCGCUUACAAGAUGUUACGUAUAUAGCAUCAGUAACAUCGUGUUGUCUUGCUGCAUACACGGCACUGGAUUUGUUUCUUGCCACAACAUCGUCGUCAGCCUAAAUGUACGGCCAGGUGACAAGACGUAUAUUGCCUAUAUAGCAUGUAUGUAGCUUACCAUUAACACUCCACCACCCCACUCCCCUGCAUAUUCUAUGUACGGCCAGGUGACAAGACGUAUAUUGCCUAUAUAACAUGUAUGUAGCUUACCAUUAACACCCCCUACAUAUUCUAUGUACGGCCAGGUGACCAGAUGAUAUGGAUUUGUAUAUUCAGAGAGCAGCUCAUGACGUGUAUAUAUGUUGACACCUGGAAAACACUCACGAAUGUUGUUGAUUGUGUUGUUAUGUUGUUUCUGUUGAGUAUUAGCCAAAAAUGGCAUUCAAGACUUUGCUAAACCAUGAACCCACUGAGAUACUGCUGAUUGCUUUGUCUGCAGAAAACACUUCCGCUUAAUGGUCUUGACGUAUGUCCAGACUUUACCCUCGUUGGUACUGCAAUUCAUUAAGCUACGAUAAACAUGUACCCUGGAUCACGGGGCUCGAUGGCACUGAAUUCAAUCUGAGAAAACCAAAACCAAAAACCAAAACAACGUUAUGCAGUAUUUUUGUUCAUAACAUUUUUAUGAGGGGUUCUGGUAUUUCUAGUAGAGACAAAACAAAAUUGUCUCCACAAUCAAAUCUUUUUUUCUAUUUAUGAAUUGGGACCCACAUAUUUUCGGGAUAUCCGGUGAAGGCAGGGUUAAAACCUGGGCAAAAUAAUUUUUGUUGGGAUAAUUUCUUGAAUAAUGUAAUUUGAUCCCAUAAUUACGCUACUAUAUAUAUUUGAAUAAUGGAGAGUUUAACCGUUUCCUUAAUAUCGCGUAAUAUGAAUUGUCGACGUCUUUAUUAAUGAGAUGUCAUAAUAUCAUUAAGGAUAGUUUUACUAGUCUUUCAUUAUGUUGGAUAUUUUCCUUGAACAUCUAGCCAUGCGGUUGACGUUAACGUUAUAUUGUUGUUUAAAUUGUUAUUUCUGACAUGCAUUAUGAUUUAUGAAACUGUGAUAGAAACCAUUGCUUAAUGUCAUCUGGUUCGGGAAAUACGGAUCAGUUAUGCCGGAAACCGAAGUUAUUCUAAUGUUGCUGUCAAUAGUUUAUCAUAUCCUAUGGUAAAUUACACUAGUUUUCACAAUCUAAAGCAAUAUAUUCUGUUGUCGACACUGGUCUCGAUGAUAGUACUGAAUUUCCGUUUAGUUUCAUGCCCCGUCGUGGGAGAAUUAAGCGAAUUUAUUGACACAAAUGUUUCAAUUUUUGUUUCGAUAACACUGAAAGUAUCAAAGAACAUAUUAAAUAAGUUAAUUUUUAUAGACAAUAUAACGUAUGUAUUGUACUUUUGUAAUCGAUGAAAAUAAAAUGUUCUCAAUUAAUGAGGUCUUUAUAUUUUGAGGAAAACCAAAUGAGAUACGACCUUUAAUAAACUGGUGAUGUUA